ACAGGUGUGAUGGAAUUGGUAGACAUAUUUGAUUUAGGAUCAAACGACUAAGAUCAUGCGGGUUCAAUUCCUGCCACCUGUA
rnacentral:tRNA from 1 species